rnacentral:rRNA from 1 species
CACGAACCGUACGAACGUUAUUCGGAAUUAUUGGGCUUAAAGGGCGUGUAGGCGGUCAAGUAAGUGGGAUGUGAAAUCCCUCGGCUCACCCGAGGACCUGCAUCCCAAACUGCUUGGCUUGAGUAUGGGAGAGGAUGAGGGAAUUCCUGGUGUAGCGGUGAAAUGCGUAGAUAUCAGGAGGAACACCGGUGGCGAAGGCGCUCAUCUGGCCCAAUACUGACGCUGAGGCGCGAAGGCUAGGGGAGCAAACGGG